UACAGAGGGGGCAAGCGUUGUUCGGAAUUACUGGGCGUAAAGGGCGCGUAGGCGGCCUUCUAAGUCGAACGUGAAAUCCCCGGGCUCAACCCGGGAACUGCGUCCGAUACUGGAAGGCUUGAAUCCGGGAGAGGGAUGCGGAAUUCCAGGUGUAGCGGUGGAAAUGCGUAGAUAUCUGGAGGAACACCGGUGGCGAAGGCGG
rnacentral:rRNA from 1 species